rnacentral:rRNA from 1 species
AUGGGGUGGCUUUCCUGCUGCAAGCGGUCGAACGGGGCCCAACCCGGCAGGAAGAAGAAGAAGGACACGACAUGGCGGAUCUUCUCACUCAAGGAGCUUCAGUUGGCGACCAACAAUUUCAACUACGAUAACAAGCUUGGUGAAGGUGGAUUCGGCAGUGUCUACUGGGGCCAGCUCUGGGACGGAUCACAGAGCCCGGGAAUAUUCUUUGAGAAUGAACAACAAUCCAAACUGGACCCACACUCUUUGAAAGUGCAAAGAACGAACUUUCUGAUUGCGGUGAAAAGGCUCAAGAGUUGGAGCAACAAGGCUGAAAAGGAGUUUGCUGUCGAGGUCGAGGUUUUGGCACGAGUGCGGCAUAAGAGCCUCUUGAGCUUACGUGGAUAUUGCGCUGAAGGCCAGGAGCGCCUGAUAGUCUACGACUAUAUGCAGAACCUGAGCUUGCACUCUCACCUGCACGGACAGCAUGCAGCUGAAUGCCAUCUUGGUUGGGAGCGAAGAAUGAACAUCGCCAUUGAUUCGGCUGAGGGCAUCGCUUAUCUUCAUCACCAUGCGAUCCCACAUAUCAUCCAUAGAGACGUCAAGGCGAGCAACGUUCUCCUGGACGCGAAUUUCCAAGCACGGGUCGCCGAUUUCGGGUUUGCAAAACUCAUACCAGACGGUGCGACCCAUGUCACCACAAAGGUGAAAGGCACGCUCGGUUACCUCGCGCCGGAGUAUGCGAUGCUUGGCAAGGCCAAAGAAAGCUGCGAUGUCUACAGCUUCGGAGUGCUCUUGCUAGAGCUUGCCAGCGGAAAGAAGCCAGUCGAGAAGAUAAACCCUACGACAAAGCUCACCAUCACCGAGUGGGCGCUUCCACUCGCUCGCGAGCAGAAGUUCAAGGAGAUGGCUGACCCGAAGCUGGGGGAUAGCUUUGUCGAGGCCGAGGUGAAGCGGAUGGUGCUCGUCGGGCUUGCUUGCACUCAGACCAAGCCAGAACAGAGGCCGGUGAUGUCCGAGGUUGUGGAGAUGCUCAAGGGGGAAUCUGCCGAGAAGUUCUCCAUCUUGGAGAAUGAUCUGUUCAAGCCUCAGCCGACCAGCUCUGUCCAGGGCACCUCUGGCCCCUGCAGCUCGGACGCCAUCACCGAAGAGAAGGAAUCGAAAGAGGAUACGAUCGAGGAGGCGACUGAUUCGAGCGAGACGGUGCCCUCAGCUAGGUAG